UUGUUCCUACGGGGGGCAGCAGUGGGGAAUAUUGCACAAUGGGGGAAACCCUGAUGCAGCGACGCCGCGCGAAGGAAGAAGUAUUUCGGUAUGUAAACUUCUGUCAGCAGGGAAGAAAAUGACGGUACCUGACUAAGAAGCCCCGGCUAACUACGUGCCAGCAGCCGCGGUAAUACGUAGGGGGCACGCGUUAUCCGGAUUUACUGGGGGUAAAGGGAGCGUAGGCGGCGAUGCA
rnacentral:rRNA from 1 species